AGUGCGGCCGUCCCCGGACAGCAGAGCCUCGGGAUCCUUCGGCUCCUUUCGUUUUCCCUCCAGGGCAAAGUUAUAUUCAGUCGUUCCAUCCACACGUUUAUUUUUCCGCCCGGCUCGGCGCGCGUGCGCAGUGCCUCCCAGCCCAGGCUGUUCCAGAGAUGUAAGACCCGAGAAGGGAAGCUGAACGGCCAUCCUGCAGCCAGUGUGUUUAUUUGGACUUCCUGUCCUUGCACCUUCAAGUGGAGCACAGGAGACGGUUCUUGAAGUAGUGGAGCGCAAGCUUGAAUUGGACCUGAGAAUUGCUGUUGGUUCGGAUGGGAUCAAAACCAACUCUUCGGAGUUGUUCUGUGUGAGCCAAGAAGAAGUUCGCAACACCGCUGGUCACCGUGCA